rnacentral:rRNA from 1 species
AACGAACGCUGGCGGCAUGCCUAACACAUGCAAGUCGAACGAGACCUUCGGGUCUAGUGGCGCACGGGUGCGUAACGCGUGGGAACCUGCCCUUAGGUUCGGAAUAACUCCCCGAAAGGGGUGCUAAUACCGGAUAAUGUCUUCGGACCAAAGAUUUAUCGCCUUUGGAUGGGCCCGCGUUGGAUUAGCUAGUUGGUAGGGUAAAAGCCUACCAAGGCGACGAUCCAUAGCUGGUCUGAGAGGAUGAUCAGCCACACAGGGACUGAGACACGGCCCAGACUCCUACGGGAGGCAGCAGUGGGGAAUAUUGGACAAUGGGCGAAAGCCUGAUCCAGCAAUGCCGCGUGAGUGAUGAAGGCCUUAGGGUUGUAAAGCUCUUUUACCCGGGAUGAUAAUGACAGUACCGGGAGAAUAAGCUCCGGCUAACUCCGUG